CAAAUAACAACUAUUAGUAUUUGUUAAAUAAUAUUCAAUUUUUUGGAUUCUGAGUUUAGCAAAAAAGCUAUUCGUUUUACUAAUAUGGUUUUUUGUUUCUCAUUUCGCAAAUUUCACUUUCCAUUCAUAAAAAUAGUCUACUUUUUUUACACAGUACUUUAAAAAACUCAGUAUUUUCAUUAAGUGGUAUUUUACCUGAUAAAUAUUUCAAUUUUUAACAGUUUUUUUACUUUGUCCUUUUUUGGUUUUUUUCUUUGGGAAACACACGAUUAGUAAAAAUGCUUUAAAUUAUUUGCACUAUACCUUCAAAUUGUGGGAUUUCAUUACUAACUUAUGGAUUCCCAUGUCUUUCAGUACAAUUUAAAGAACUGGCAAAUGUCAGUAUAUCACUUAUAUUACUUUUAUAAUUUUAGUAUAUUACUUUUGUUGUUUUCUGGAUUAAUUUGGUUACAAGGGAAAUAUUAUAACUAACAUUACUAACACUACUUCUUUCAAAAUCUUUUGGUGAUUUAUCAUUGCUUUUACUGUAUAAAUUAAAUUACUUAUAUCCUCUAUUAUUUACCAACAGUUUUCUACCUAGAGUUAAAAUGUUGAAUAUUAGGUUUGAGCCUAGUGAGGAAUCAUAUUAGUUUUAUGCCGGGUUGUAUAAAAACUGUUCAGUAAACUAUUGGUUCCAUAAUCUAUCUGUUCUGUAAAAUUACAGUGUUGCAUAUAAUUAUUUCAUUAUUUUUAUUUGUUAUCUAUGGUUAUAACCACUUGCUUAGUUAUAAAUAUAAAUAUAAUCAAUACAGUGUGUAAUCGUUUAUUGGAAACACUCUAUAACUUAACAAAUAUUAAAUAUAUUUGAAUUCUGUUUGUUUUUGGUGCUUAACAAACUUUGUUUUAAUUUAUUAAACUAAA